rnacentral:rRNA from 1 species
GACGAACGCUGGCGGCGUGCUUAACACAUGCAAGUCGAACGGUAAGGCCCUUCGGGGUACACGAGUGGCGAACGGGUGAGUAACACGUGGGUGAUCUGCCCUGCACUUCGGGAUAAGCCUGGGAAACUGGGUCUAAUACCGGUUAGGACCACUGCCUGCAUGGGUGGCGGUGGAAAGCUUUUGCGGUGUGGGAUGGGCACGCGGCCUAUCAGCUUGUUGGUGGGGUGAUGGCCUACCAAGGCGACGAAGGGUAGCCGGCCUGAGAGGGUGACCGGCCACACUGGGACUGAGAUACGGCCCAGACUCCUACGGGAGGCAGCAGUGGGGAAUAUUGCACAAUGGGCGCAAGCCUGAUGCAGCGACGCCGCGUGAGGGAUGACGGCCUUCGGGUUGUAAACCUCUUUCAGCACCGACGAAGCGCAAGUGACGGUAGGUGCAGAAGAAGGACCGGCCAACUACGUGCCAGCAGCCGCCGUAA